GUGUUUGUAGCUCAGUUGGAUAGAGCAACGGCCUUCUAAGCCGUGGGUCGGGGGUUCGAAUCCCUUAUAAUAUU
rnacentral:tRNA from 1 species